GGCUUGAGUGAGCUACUGAGAAGACAGAGAUGAUAAAAAGUAUCUAGCAAGAAGUUGCUAGCUUAUCUCUGCAGGCAAGAUAUUUCUGAAGCUCCCUUGUACCAG
rnacentral:lncRNA from 1 species